AAUAGAUACCCCGGUAGUCCACGCCCUAAACGAUGUCUACUAGUUGUCGGGGAUUAAUUUCCUUGGUAACGCAGCUAACGCGGGAAGUAGACCGCCUGGGGAGUACGGUCGCAAGAUUAAAACUCAAAGGAAUUGACGGGGACCCGCACAAGCGGUGGAUGAUGUGGAUUAAUUCGAUGCAACGCGAAAAACCUUACCUACGCUUGACAUGUCCGGAAUCCUGCAGAGAUGUGGGAGUGCCCGAAAGGGAGCCGGAACACAGGUGCUGCAUGGCUGUCGUCAGCUCGUGUCGUGAGAUGUUGGGUUAAGUCCCGCAACGAGCGCAACCCUUAUCAUUAGUUGCUACGCAAGGGCACUCUAAUGAGACUGCCGGUGACAAACCGGAGGAAGGUGGGGAUGACGUCAAGUCCUCAUGGCCCUUAUGCGUAGGGCUUCACACGUCAUACAAUGGUCGGUACAGAGGGCUGCCAACCCGGCGAGGGGGGAGCCAAUCCCGACAAAAACCCGAUCGUAGUCCGGAUUGCAGUCUGCAA
rnacentral:rRNA from 1 species